CACCGCAACCUCACACCGCCGACCACCAAGUAUUCAAGUACAUGACUUUCCGGCCACAUGUUGCCUGAAUUCCUACCGGAGAAAUAAUGUGUUAUAAUUAGAAGGGUAUUCUUGACAGAAUGACAGAAUCGGUUGAUUGCCUAGUAUCUAAACCAGCCAGCGAGCUUUCUUUUGAUUCAAGCUGUCCUUGGAUUAGUGAUAAGAAGUCUGAGCCAUGGUGGCGCACUGCAGAUACAGAGGAACUUGCUUUCUUGGUUGCACAAAGAUCUCAUGAUCUUAUUGAGAAUUGUGAUCUUCCCCAACCACAGACCACUAGCGCAAAAGGGGACCCGUGUGUUCGUCUGGGCUGGGUUGAUCAUAAACGAGCUAAUGCUUUGUUUCUAGAUCCUAAAGCCCGCUCUUCUGGACAGAAAAAUACAAAUACCCAGGCACAAAGAAACACUCUCUCGAAAAGUAGGUAUCAAAAACAGUGGGAAGAGCAUUUGCAGCUUGGUACCAACAAGCCAUUGAGUUAUUGCCCCUAUAAAAUUUUCUACUUUCCGAUUCUUUUCCAUAACAGCAUGAGACAAUUCUUCAACACUGCUAUUUGACCUCUACAAAGCAGCAAAUAGAUAUUGGCACUGGAGAAGAAGAAUGCGAGAUGAAGGCAGUGACGAGAAGGAGAAACGGAAAAGAACCGAAGAGCCAGGAAGAAAGGGGAAAGAAAAAUGAAAAUAAAAUAGGGAAAUAAAUUAAAUUUGAAAGAACAAGAAUACCCUUCUAAUUAUAACCCAUUAUUUCUCCUGUAGGAAUUCAGGUAACAUGUGGCCGGAAAGUUAGAUAGGGGGACCAAAUGUGAUACUUAUUUGAAAGUCAUGCACCUAAUUAGAAAAAUCCAAUAGUCAAGGACUAAAUUUGAUUCAGGUAUAAUAGUCAAGGGACCAAAAGUGAUAUUUACUCUAUAUUCUUUAGAUAUAUUAGUUAAGUUAUAUGCUUUAGAUCUACCUUUCUAGUAUUCCUGGGAUGUUGGUAAUGUUUCAGAUUGUAUGUUUUUCCAAUCUCUGAAUUUCUACAUUUAGAUUCAUAUAAGAUAGAAUAGAUGGUGUUUUUGUAGAUUGAGUGCGAAUUGAAUCCCUAAAUUGAGAGAAACUGUGUGGCCAGACCUGGAAGUGACUUUGUGUGGGACCCUGGGGGCUGAAUUGGAGCUCCUUAACUUUGUGUUCUUUUUUGCAGGGAGCUGGUGUGUAAGGAGGACUGGGCAGAAGCUGAUUGCAACAAGGGAGCUGUGGAAUUAUGAGGAUUGCAUUGGUAGAAAGCUAUGAUGCUCUGCAGUGUGGCUGAGCUUGGUUUAGAAUUCAUUGUUUUUAAAAUGUUUUGUAGUUGUGCAUAUUGAGCAGUAGAUUGAAUGAGCUGGGGCUGGGGGUUGCUGCAUGGGUAUGUUCUAUUUGCAUAAGCCUGUGAUCUCCCUUUGCCUGAUUAAUUGUGUGCAUGAUGAUGGUGUGAUUAGGGCUGAGUAAUAUGUGAAUCUUGCAUAGCAUAUACACUGUGGUGGGAGUGUUCAAGUGGAUUGAUUUGAUGGUAAAUUGAAUUGAAAAUGAUGGAUUUAAUGGUGAAUGAAGGAGGACUGAUACGGCAUGAAAAAAAAAAGGGAGAAAGCAGCAAAACAGAAAAAAAGAAAGCAGAAAAAAGAAAGAGAAGAUGGGGCAAAAUAGAUUUGGAGAAAAAAAAUUAUGUGUACUACAUGACAUUUUAAGAAAGAAAGAAAGAUAAAAACUAAUUUGGUUGGAUCUUGUAUUCAUCUAAUUUGUUUAUUGUCCGUGUUUAAAACUUUAGUAAGUUGAUAUUUGCAGAAAUUCAUGAUGUUUUUUUAUUCGACGAGAUUAGCCUUUUAAUCCCUUAGUAGUAAUAACACUGUUUGCAUAAACUUUAGUAAGUUGAUAUUGGCAAACAAAUGCCUUCUGUAUUCCUGCACUGGAAAAAAUUGAUACAGACAACAAUGUCAUUCAAGGUCACCAAACUGAAUGAUGUAUGACCUGAAUGAUGUGACGUCCUACAAGGGCACUGCCUUCUGGAUGGCUACUCAGUAGACAUUGAUGGUGAUAUUGCUAAUUUCAUUCUUUUGUAACAUUCAAUUAUUUUUAAUUUGAAUUGUAAAUCUGUAAUUUCAUUCUUUUCUUUUUGUAGCUUUCAAUUAUUUUUAAUUUGGAACUGUAAAUUUGUAAUUUCAUUGAUUAUUUUUUAGUUUUAGAAUAAAGUACUAUAAUUUUUGG